AACGAACGCUGGCGGCAGGCCUAACACAUGCAAGUCGAACGCCGUAGCAAUACGGAGUGGCAGACGGGUGAGUAACACGUGGGAACGUACCCUCGGUUCGGGAUAACUCAGGGAAACUUGAGCUAAUACCGGAUACGUCCGAGAGGAGAAAGAUUUAUUGCCGAGGGAUCGGCCCGCGUCUGAUUAGCUUGUUGGUGAGGUAACGGCUCACCAAGGCGACGAUCAGUAGCUGGUCNGAGA
rnacentral:rRNA from 1 species